GCAAUAGUAGCUCAGUGCCAGAGCGUCGGCCUUGUAAGCCGAACGUCGGAGGUUAAAAUCCCCCCUGCUGCU
rnacentral:tRNA from 1 species